GGUGAGAAUAAAUCCAAAUUCUUCGCCUCCCCCUACAUCUAUCCCUCCAAACAGAAAGAAAUGGCUUCCACUCGAUGUCAUCAAAAGUCGCUGGUCAGCUACGUAGCACGGAGCUGCUAGCGGUCAGGAAUACAUAACAACAUCCGUUUUAUAACUUUUAAAAGGCCAAACUAAAACAAAAAGCCAUUACUUAUACUUUAAUGCAAACUUGUGCGCAUCAGAGCACAUCCAUAUGAAAAAAGGAGCUUCUCUUCUGAACGCCGAUCACCAUAGCGACAUCCCUCCCGCUCCAGUUAGCCUUUCAAAAAACGAUUUUGCCACUUUAAAUGCCCCUACUAUUGGAAGGGUAAGGAGAAGCCGCAGGGUUAGGGGAAGAAUUCGGAUUGGAUUAAAAAAUAAAUAAAUAAAAACAACCACCACUAGAGGGGAGUGUUUACAAGAGCAGAUGAGCAGAGGAGGAGGCUGAAGUGACGGGAAGCGGAGUCUCGGAAGAAAAAAAUUACCUGUGGAGAGCAGCUGUCAAUUAGAGUCGGGCCCAAUCCACUUUUUAAGGCGGAACAGGAAGGCGUGAUGCCCCCCCCCCCUCGAGAUCGUAUGUCGUUGGUGUGUCAGAGGUUUUGCCAUUUCCACUCUGAGUCAUCCUCAUGCAGUUUCAGGUCUUCGUUUGAAAGCGACGCCUCUCAGAAAUCAAACCCAAUCAAUAAAAGUCAUCUCUGAGGAUGAACCUCAGGCAUCA